rnacentral:rRNA from 1 species
GGAAUAGCUCCGGGAAACUGGAAUUAAUACCGCAUACGCCCUACGGGGGAAAGAUUUAUCGGGGAAGGAUUGGCCCGCGUUGGAUUAGCUAGUUGGUGGGGUAAAGGCCUACCAAGGCGACGAUCCAUAGCUGGUCUGAGAGGAUGAUCAGCCACAUUGGGACUGAGACACGGCCCAAACUCCUACGGGAGGCAGCAGUGGGGAAUAUUGGACAAUGGGCGCAAGCCUGAUCCAGCCAUGCCGCGUGAGUGAUGAAGGCCUUAGGGUUGUAAAGCUCUUUCACCGAUGAAGAUAAUGACGGUAGUCGGAGAAGAAGCCCCGGCUAACUUCGUGCCAGCAGCCGCGGUAAUACGAAGGGGGCUAGCGUUGUUCGGAAUUACUGGGCGUAAAGCGCACGUAGGCGGAUAUUUAAGUCAGGGGUGAAAUCCCGCAGCUCAACUGCGGAACUGCCUUUGAUACUGGGUAUCUUGAGUAUGGAAGAGGUAAGUGGAAUUCCGAGUGUAGAGGUGAAAUUCGUAGAUAUUCGGAGGAACACCAGUGGCGAAGGCGGCUUACUGGUC